rnacentral:rRNA from 1 species
UCCUGGCUCAGAUUGAACGCUGGCGGCAUGCCUUACACAUGCAAGUCGAACGGCAGCGCGGGGCAACCUGGCGGCGAGUGGCGAACGGGUGAGUAAUAUAUCGGAACGUACCCUGGAGUGGGGGAUAACGUAGCGAAAGUUACGCUAAUACCGCAUACGAUCUACGGAUGAAAUGGGGGAUCGCAAGACCUCAUGCUCGUGGAGCGGCCGAUAUCUGAUUAGCUAGUUGGUAGGGUAAAAGCCUACCAAGGCAUCGAUCAGUAGCUGGUCUGAGAGGACGACCAGCCACACUGGAACUGAGACACGGUCCAGACUCCUACGGGAGGCAGCAGUGGGGAAUUUUGGACAAUGGGCGCAAGCCUGAUCCAGCAAUGCCGCGUGAGUGAAGAAGGCCUUCGGGUUGUAAAGCUCUUUUGUCAGGGAAGAAACGGUGCUUUCUAAUACAGAGCGCUAAUGACGGUACCUGAAGAAUAAGCACCGGCUAACUACGUG